GUUGAACGCUGGCGGCAGGCCUAACACAUGCAAGUCGAACGAGUGGCGGACGGGUGAGUAAUGCGUGGUAAACUGCCUGAUGGAGGGGGAUAACUACUGGAAACGGUAUCUAAUACCGCAUACCAUCAGAUGUGCCCAGAUGGGAUGAGCUAGUGGGUGGGGUAACGGCUCACCAAGGCGACGAGCCCUAGCGGGUCGGAGAGGAUGACCAGCCAACAGGGAACUGAGACACGUGCCAGCCUCCUACGGGAGGAAGCAGUGGGGAAGAUUGGACAAUGGGCGAAAGCCGGAUGCAGCAAUGCCGCGUGUAUGAAGAAGGCUUUCGGUUUGUAAAGUACGUUCAGCGGGGAGGCGUUACCCGAAGAAGAAGCACCGGCUAACUCCGUGCCAGCAGCCGCGGUAAUAC
rnacentral:rRNA from 1 species